UUCCAUCAGAAAUAAAAAUAAAACAAAGUGGGUGUCCAACUCUAGGACAAGUACAAAGAAUUGGGUGUUUCUCAAAAUAUCACCAAAGUGAUAAAAGACAGCAAAAAUUGAAAGAAGAAAAAGGGAGGAAGUAGCAAAAACUUAAGGUUGGGGAGGAUUUUGAAUCUGUGAAGCUCGUUGGUACCCUCUCAUCGUCGCUGCAAGAGUCUCUGGCAGAGCUACCCUUUUUUGUUCAAACACCAACAAAUUCCGCACCUUCCAAAUUUCUACACAAAGGAUGCCAAUGCCAACUACAUCAUUUGUCGCGCUUCUACCACUGAUGGAAUUGCUUAUUGGGGUUAUUGUCAGAAUUCUCUAAUGGAUGAGUCAUCGGAUCGAGAGUUGACCAUGGAGAGCCUUCCAAAGGUGAAUUUUCAUUCUAUUGGGGAUGCGUAUUGAUGAGCGGAUAAUUUAUACGCUUUUUGGCAUUGUUUUUAGGUAUUUUCUGGCUGAAAUUGAGGGACCUGAGAAAAAUCUGAUUCACAUGCUGAAAAAGGACUG